rnacentral:rRNA from 1 species
GACGAACGCUGGCGGCGUGCCUAAUACAUGCAAGUAGAACGCACAGUUUAUACCGUAGCUUGCUACACCAUAGACUGUGAGUUGCGAACGGGUGAGUAACGCGUAGGUAACCUGCCUGGUAGCGGGGGAUAACUAUUGGAAACGAUAGCUAAUACCGCAUAAUAUUGAUUAUUGCAUGAUAAUUGAUUGAAAGAUGCUAUUGCAUCACUACCAGAUGGACCUGCGUUGUAUUAGCUAGUAGGUGAGGUAACGGCUCACCUAGGCGACGAUACAUAGCCGACCUGAGAGGGUGAUCGGCCACACUGGGACUGAGACACGGCCCAGACUCCUACGGGAGGCAGCAGUAGGGAAUCUUCGGCAAUGGACGAAAGUCUGACCGAGCAACGCCGCGUGAGGGAAGAAGGGUGUCGGAUCGUAAAGCUCUGUUGUAAGAGAAGAACGGGUGUGAGAGUGGAAAGUUCACACUGUGACGGUAUCUUACCAGAAAGGGACGGCUAACUACGUG